rnacentral:rRNA from 1 species
GUACACAAAAAUGCACAUGCUGUGAGCUCGAUGAGUAGGGCGGGACACGUGGUAUCCUGUCUGAAUAUGGGGGGACCAUCCUCCAAGGCUAAAUACUCCUGACUGACCGAUAGUGAACCAGUACCGUGAGGGAAAGGCGAAAAGAACCCCGGCGAGGGGAGUGAAAAAGAACCUGAAACCGUGUACGUACAAGCAGUGGGAGCACGCUUAGGCGUGUGACUGCGUACCUUUUGUAUAAUGGGUCAGCGACUUAUAUUCUGUAGCAAGGUUAACCGAAUAGGGGAGCCGAAGGGAAACCGAGUCUUAACUGGGCGUUAAGUUGCAGGGUAUAGACCCGAAACCCGGUGAUCUAGCCAUGGGCAGGUUGAAGGUUGGGUAACACUAACUGGAGGACCGAACCGACUAAUGUUGAAAAAUUAGCGGAUGACUUGUGGCUGGGGGUGAAAGGCCAAUCAAACCGGGAGAUAGCUGGUUCUCCCCGAAAGCUAUUUAGGUAGCGCCUCGUGAAUUCAUCUCCGGGGGUAGAGCACUGUUUCGGCAAGGGGGUCAUCCCGACUUACCAACCCGAUGCAAACUGCGAAUACCGGAGAAUGUUAUCACGGGAGACACACGGCGGGUGCUAACGUCCGUCGUGAAGAGGGAAACAACCCAGACCGCCAGCUAAGGUCCCAAAGUCAUGGUUAAGUGGGAAACGAUGUGGGAAGGCCCAGACAGCCAGGAUGUUGGCUUAGAAGCAGCCAUCAUUUAAAGAAAGCGUAAUAGCUCACUGGUCGAGUCGGCCUGCGCGGAAGAUGUAACGGGGCUAAACCAUGCACCGAAGCUGCGGCAGCGACGCUGAUGCGUUGUUGGGUAGGGGAGCGUUCUGUAAGCCUGUGAAGGUGUACUGCGAGG